GGGCGUAAAGAGCUUGUAGGCGGCUUGUCGCGUCUGCUGUGAAAGCCCGGGGCUUAACCCCGGGUCUGCAGUGGGUACGGGCAGGCUAGAGUGUGGUAGGGGAGACUGGAAUUCCUGGUGUAGCGGUGGAAUGCGCAGAUAUCAGGAGGAACACCGAUGGCGAAGGCAGGUCUCUGGGCCAUUACUGACGCUGAGAAGCGAAAGCGUGGGGAGCGAACAGGAUUAGAUACCCUGGUAGUCCACGCCGUAAACGUUGGGCGCUAGGUGUGGGUCCCAUUCCACGGGGUCCGUGCCGCAGCUAACGCAUUAAGCGCCCCGCCUGGGGAGUACGGCCGCAAGGCUAAAACUCAAAGGAAUUGACGGGGGCCCGCACAAGCGGCGGAGCAUGCGGAUUAAUUCGAUGCAACGCGAAGAACCUUACCAAGGCUUGACAUGUACCGGAAACCCUCGGAGACGGGGGCCCCGCAAGGCUGGUACACAGGUGGUGCAUGGUUGUCGUCAGCCCGUGUCGUGAGAUGUUGGGUUAAGUCCCGCAACGAGCGCAACCCUCGUUCUAUGUUGCCAGCGGUUCGGCCGGGGACUCAUAGGAGACUGCCGGGGUCAACUCGGAGGAAGGU
rnacentral:rRNA from 1 species